rnacentral:rRNA from 1 species
UAGGGAAUUUUGCGCAAUGGGCGAAAGCCUGACGCAGCAACGCCGCGUGAUUGAUUAAGCCCUUCGGGGUGUAAAGAUCUGUCAGCGGGGACGAAACUUGACGGUACCCGCAGAGGAAGCACCGGCUAACUCCGUGCCAGCAGCCGCGGUAAUACGGAGGGUGCAAGCGUUGUCCGGAAUCAUUGGGCGUAAAGAGUUCGUAGGUGGUUUGUUAAGUUUGGUGUUAAAUGCAGAGGCUCAACUUCUGUUCGGCAUCGGAUACUGGCAGACUAGAAUGCGGUAGAGGUAAAGGGAAUUCCUGGU